rnacentral:rRNA from 1 species
AAGGUAAGCUACUAAGAGCAAAUGGUGGAUGCCUUGGCUAGUAGAGGCGAUGAAAGACGUGCUAGGCUGCGAUAAGUCUCGGGGAGCCGUCAAGGGGCUUUGAUCCGGGAAUUUCUGAAUGGGGCAACCCAGUAUAUAGUGAUAUAUACUACCGCAAUGCGGAGCAAACGUUGGGAAUUGAAACAUCUUAGUACCAACAGGAAAAGAAAUCAAACGAGAUUACGCUAGUAGCGGCGAGCGAAAGCGUAAGAGGGCAAACCACUAGCUUGCUAGUGGGGUUGUAGGACUGCAAUAUAGACUUAAACAAUCUAAUAGAAUAAGCUGGAAAGCUUAAGCAUAGAGGGUGAUACUCCCGUAUAUGAAAGUGCGUUUAUACUUAGCAGUAUCCUGAGUAGGGCGGGACACGCGAAAUCCUGUCUGAAGCUGGGUAGACCACUAUCCAACCCUAAAUACUACUACUAGACCGAUAGUGCACAAGUACCGUGAGGGAAAGGUGAAAAGAACUGAGGUGAUCAGAGUGAAAUAGAACCUGAAACCAUUUGCUUACAAUCAUUCAGAGCCCUAU